UACGUAGGCAGCAAGCGUUGUUCGGAAUUACUGGGCGUAAAGGGUGUGCAGGCGGCUUGGUAAGUGUGGUGUGAAAUCUCCCGGCUUAACUGGGAGGGUGCGCUACAAACUGCCGGGCUAGAGUGUGGGAUGGGAGAGUGGAAUUCCUGGUGUAGCGGUGAAAUGCGUAGAUAUCAGGAGGAACACCGGUGGUGUAGACGGCUUUCUGGACCGUAACUGACGCUGAGGAGCGAAAGCGUGGGGGAGCGAACAGG
rnacentral:rRNA from 1 species